GGUCUGUUUGUUGUAUUUUUAAAGAGGUAAAACUAAAAUACGUUAAACCAAGAUGAACAGUCAAAUAUUAGUACAAAUGUUUGUCUGCUUUCUCUUCCCCUAGAUCUCAAUAUUUUUAAUAACCGUUAUUUCUGAGCAAAGAGGGACAAAUGACUGAUACUUGGCACCGCAAACACAGCAUCUUAACACAGCUUGAGAUUCAGAAGAACGCAGAGGUCAUCUCGCUCCAUCGGACUAAAGGCCCGUCUCGUCCGGUUUUCUGUUUUGGGCAGUGGCCGGUAUGAGUCGUUUCAGAAAAAAGCGGAAGAAACACCAAAUACACUGAUCCAAAUUUAUCACAAGGGAAAUUUUAUUGACUUCACUGGAUUUCUAGGAUAGAUGAACAUCCCAUAUCUACCUGGGUUCUUCUGUAUCCUGGGAAAUGAUGUAGUUCUUGGUGCUGUAGGUGAGUAAAUUCCAGUGUAUCUAAAACACCGGUCCAGAUCCUUGGCUGUUGUAAAGUGAUGGAGCUCAGUUGUUUCCAGUGAGGCAGUGCUGGCUUACACAACCUAAGGAUCAAGCCCAAUAUUCUCUGUAUCUGUAUUUUUUCUACGAUUAAUCCAAAACCAAAAGAAAAAAAAAAACAUUGGGCAUAAGGCUAAAAGUUCUCCAAAUUCUAGACUACAAAAGUACAUGAAUGAACAAGGACUUGCCUCCUAUAACACAACAUAAGUGUCUGUGCAUAUUAUUGGCUUGAUCCAUCAGUCUUUAAUCAAAACUUUCUACUAAUUUCAUCAAGGAAUUUUGCCUGAAUAACACGUGUAUAAUCAGCCCCUACAUUUACACUAGACUUUUUUUCUAGUGUAAAUGAAAUAAAGAACGUUUAAAGUUUCUUUCUAUAAAGAAAACAAAAUACUACAUGAAAAGAAAGCUGUCUUUAUAACUUAAACAUUGAUUUCUCACCUCUUCUGCUGUCUUUCUUCUUGCUACUUCUCUUCGGGACUGGAAAAGAGCAGGUUGCUCUCAGCCUUCCUCUUUAUAUACACGCCAUCGGUCCCCCAGAGUUUGUUUGUCCUAGAAGAGUUCCUUGACCUUUUGGAAAGGUAGUGCACGUUUCAGGAGCAGAUACAAGGACUGCACAAGCUGACAUGCACAGAGUGCUCCUUUAUUGCUUGCAGACUCACUCACGAGGACAAGCAAAUAAAGAACCACAGCUGCAACACAGGAGGAGUACACAGGAAUUGCACGGGUUUGAAGGAAAAAACUACAUUUUUACAAAAGAAAUCCUUAAAGAAGAUCAUUUCCAUUAUGACUACAAUGAUGAUGUAUGUAAAUAUAAAAUUAAAUCAUGUUCACUAAUAUUCAGAAA